AGAGCGGGAGCGCGGGAGAGGGGUAAAAUGGAUAAACUACGAGAGAAAUUACAACUUCCAAAAACUCAAUCCUGUCACGAAGUUGGGAGUUUAAAUGAUUUCGUCCGGGAUUCUAUGUACCUGGCUUGGCCCGUUGCGAGCAUCGCGGCCGAUGGACGUCGCAGUCCAAGGCGACUGCUACCCCGACAACAGGAAGCAAUCGACGAGGAAGCGGAAGAAGACAGGAUUAAUCGUGAAAGACAGGCGGAAUGUAGACGCAGAGCAAUGCAAGGGAGAGCGUCGAUAGACAGCACUUCAUGGCAUAUGCUACGUAGUGUAUCAGAGGAGAGAAGACAGUCAUCCGGCAGUUACCUUUCACCAACAACGAAUGCAAUUCAACUUGGACUCAAGAAAGAAGAAGUCCGUAUAAGAUCCAGGGCAGAGCUUCUGGAAAUGAGAGAGCAAUGGCGAAGACAACGUCAAUCCGAAACUGCAAAUCUUUCUUCGCCUGCAUCAGACCUCGCUGCUCGACGAGGAGUGUUUAGCAGACGACACUAUGGCUCGGUCGAAUUGCUUACGUCAUGUGAUGCUGAAGGAUCCAACCAGAGCGUGGGUCGAUUCCGUGUAGAAACGGGCGAAAGAGAUACAGAUGAGAACCAUCUUCAAAUCCCCAGCCCCUUGAAUAGCCCAAUUCAUCUUGAGAAUCCAGAAUCCCAAACUCGUUGGUAUUUCCGUUACUUUUUGGGAAAAUUACAUCAGAAUUAUGUUGGAGCUGAUGCUGAAAAAGAGCCCUUCGUUUUAUCUGUUGUUGUCACAGAUGCCAACAACCUCAAUGUCCCACAGUAUAGAACAAUUUUGUGGAGAAAAACAGGAGCACAACGAAUAUGUUUGUCUUUCAAUCCAAACAAACCACAAACUGUGAAAGGAAUUCUCAACUACUAUGGAAUGGAAAAGAUCGAAAGAGGUCCAAAAGAAGUAUUUGAUACAGAAAUACAGAAAGAAUUACUUGUCCUUGAAGAGCAAGAAGGUUCUGUCAAUUUCAAAUUCGGAGUGCUUUUUGCAAAAGAUGGGCAAACAUCAGAUGAUGACAUGUACUGUAAUGAGGAAGGCAAUAGUGAUUUUCAAAAAUUUAUUGAUCUUCUUGGUGAUAGAGUCAAAUUGAAAGAUUGGGAUCGUUUCAAAGGUGGCCUUGAUGUUAAAACUGACAGCACAGGAACAGAAUCAAGAUAUGUCAUCUACGAAGGCCAUGAAAUUAUGUUUCACGUAUCCACCUUACUUCCAUACUCCCCAGACAACAGGCAGCAGGUUGAGAGAAAGCGACAUAUUGGUAACGACAUUGUUAAUAUUGUUUAUUUUGACUGUGAUUUCGAAAAACCGCCCGUAUUCAAGCCUAAUAUGAUGAAGACUCAUUUUACUCAUAUUUAUGCAGUUGUAAUGUACAACAAGGAGCAAGAUGCAUUUAAACUUUCUGUAUUCUCUGAAGAGUCUGUUCCAUUAUUUGGACCUGUAUUACCUUCACCUCCCAUUUUCACAAACCAUAAAGAAUUCCGUGACUUCCUUUUAGUUAAAUUAAUCAAUGGGGAAAAGGCAGCUGUUAACAACCGAUUAUUUGCUCAGAAGCGGGAGCGAACCUUGGACAUGUUAAUACGUAAUAUCUACCAAGAAUAUAUGCCUGAACUAUCAAAGAAUAAUAUCUUGUAUCGCAGGGCUUUCAGUGAUGUGAUAGGAGAUGGCCAUGGGUCAAGGAGAAAAGAACGAGCUAGGCAGGCCGAAUUUGUCCGAAUUGGUCAGACGUUAAAACUGAAGACCAUCUUGAAAGGUGAUGCCCCAACAAGCCAGAUAAACACAGACAUUUUGAAACGAGAGCCAUGGGAACCGCAGAUCUACUACAGUGAAUUCCCUCACCAUAUAACUUGUGCUGAUUCAUGGGGGGACAAACUAAUGGUUGCCACCGAAAUUGGUUUAAUGGUGCUGGAAGAGGGAGUUUCACCAAGGCUUGUCCUUGAUAAAAGCAUCAGUGCAAAACAAAUCAACAUCAUUGAACAACAUGGGCUGCUGUUAAUAAGAGCUGACAAAGGAAAAGAUGGUAAAGUUUAUGUAUUUAGGUUAAGUGACUUUGAAGGUGUGGAAAAUGAGUUUGUCGUAAAAUCUAAAUCUGACUGCAAGGACAAUCGACUUGAAGGUACAAAAGGUUGCCACUUAUAUGCCAUUAGUCGACAAUGUGAAUAUCCUUUACGGCUAGCAGUUGCAGUCUCCAGGAAAAUAGUGCUCUACUCUUGGAAACAUCUUGUAACAUUUACUAGCUGGUGCCCCAAAAUUGAAUUCGAGCCUGUUGAUAGAUUUAGUUUUGUUCAGGAGAUACAUACUGCUGAAGUCCCCUCCAUUCUGACGUUAGUGGAUGGUAAAGAUGAUAACUACAUAUGUGUUGGUUACAAAAAUCAGUUUACUGUGAUCAAUGAAAAGACUGGAGAUUGUCAUCCACUUUACCAUGUUGAAGGCAAUAGAGUUAGUUUGGUGGCAGCUUUGGAUAUCUACGAAGAUGAUGAACCUGAAUUAUUACUCUGUUAUAACCAUAUCAGUCAUUUUCAAAAACUCCGUGAAGAAACUGUUCAAGAUAUGUAUUUUCAGUGGAACUCAGAACCUCAAACAGUUGUUUGUGCCUUUCCUUACGUAAUGGCUUUCACCCAAGAAUCUAUUGAAAUUCGUCUCAUUAUCAAUGGCAACUUAGUACAUACCAUGUCAAUGCCUGACCUCAUGCUUGUUGCAUCGAAAAGUGACAUUUAUUUCAUUUCCUCGGCAUACUCGGGAAUCAGUGAACGAAAAAAAGAAGACACAUCACUGUCCCCACCACCAUCUCCCUCAGGUCAUUUCCUCGGUCACAGAAGUCCUAUUCAUGGUGGUGCUUUCCAUUUUCCAGUACCACACGCCAAGAAUCAGUUUUCAACAAACAUUUACAAGAUACCACUGAUGUACCUAACUGGACAAAUGGCCUCUGAAAGAACUGGUAACACUGCUGCUUGUAAUCAUAAUACGUUACUGGCUCCAGUUUCAUCCGAACUACAGAAGUCGCCAUCUCUUAAGCGCAGUCCACUUAUUCAUACAAAGAAAAACCAAACUACAGCUUUAACAGUAGAGAAGGUUCAAUCAGAAUCUAUUUGGAAAAUCACACCAACAUUCCUUGUGGAGGUAGAAUCACAAGCUCCAUCAUCAUCUUGUCCGAGUGAUGUCGGCAACGACCCAGUCUUUAAAAAUUAAUAACUCAGUUCACCAAUAAUUAUUUCAAAAAAAAAAAAAUCAAGAAGAAUGUUUUUAAAAGAAAAUAAAAAUAAAGACAUUAAUUUUAACACGAAAUAUAAGAACCAAAUGAACAGCAAAACCUUCAUGAACAACUCAGGGAAAUCGGAAAGAAAGUACGUGUGGUCUCAGGUUGAAGUUGGUGGCCUUAUAUAAGAAAGGGAAAGAAAAAUCUUAAAUCUGCAAACAACUCUAGAUUAAAGAUUAGCAAUGAACUUGUGUAGAGCAUUACUGGCCAACAGAACAUUACAAUAUCCUCUAAUUCUGUAAUAAGUAUUAGAGACAAAAACAAAAAUUGAACUGAAGGAAAAACAAGGCAGUUUAGUGUCCAUUUUAAAUGAAGUGGUCACAAGCUGGGAAUUGUCAAAGGAUAAUAAAGACCGCCAUGACUCCUCUGGUUCUGAUUCUGGAAUAAUGAUUAUGAAACUUGGAGAGACACCUCCAGUUUCACCUUUCAGUAAAGGCUCCAUGGAAUUUGAUGAAGUUCUUUGAUAGACAGAAACACAAAGGAAGCAAAAGACUGACUGCAAUGCUUGAAUCAACUAAAAAUUCUUCAUUGAUAGUCAGAACAAAACAACUCAAAAAAUAUAUCCUUGUGGUCCCUUAUUUUUUUAAAUUGUUCUAUCGCUCCUAUUA
rnacentral:misc_RNA from 1 species